rnacentral:rRNA from 1 species
AGCAGCCGCGGUAAUUCCAGCUCCAAUAGCGUAUAUUAAAGUUGUUGCAGUUAAAAAGCUCGUAGUUGAAUUUCGGAAUCAAUUUGUUGGUCGUGCCUUGGUACGUACUGGCAUUAUUGGUUUCUCCCUUCUGAGAAUCCUUGAUGUCAUUAAUUUGGUGUCUUGGGGAAUCAGGACUGUUACCUUGAAAAAAUUGAGUGUUUAAAGCAGGCAUACGCUUGAAUACAUUAGCAUGGAAUAAUGAAAUAGGACGUUCGAUCCUAUUUUGUUGGUUUCUAGGAUUGACGUAAUGAUUAAUAGGGAUAGUUGGGGGCAUUAGUAUUCAAUUGUCAGAGGUGAAAUUCUUGGAUUUAUUGAAGACUAACUACUGCGAAAGCAUUUGCCAAGGAUGUUUUCAUUAAUCAAGAACGAAAGUUAGGGAUCGAAGACGAUCAGAUACCGUCGUAGUCUUAACAUAAACUAUGCCGACUAGGGAUCGGAUGAUGUUAAUUUUUAAUGACUCAGUUCGGUACG